UCACGGAUUCGUGGAUGGCGUCUCUCAGCCUUCCGGGUUUGUGUCACCACGCCCUCCUUGGAAUUGUAGGAUUUAGUGUCCUAAUGUUUUUUGUGAGUUGACCGAUUUCUUUGUCGCCAUCUGAAUGCCAUAUCGUGCCUGGUAUGAGAUUUAUUUAUCUAAGCAUAAUUCACAUCUUAAGAAUCUGAGCUCAGAGCACUGUCUCCUGAGAUCUGCGCCAUGAUGGAACUUCGGACUCUGGGAAGCCAAGCAAGCACCUCCCUUCCCUGGGAUCGAACUCACAACUGCCUGCUUGCAAGGCAGGCACUUAUGCCACUGAGCUAAAUCUCCAGCCCCUCUAGCAAACUUCUUGCAUCUAAGUAAGGAUAUAUAAAUGCUUCUGGUGAGUGGAAAAUGAAUGGAAAUGCUGUGAAUUACAUGGAGGUAGGAAUGUUUAUAAAGUGUGCUGUGUCUUUUUUUGUCAACUGGAUCAACAUGAAGAAAAAUUUGGGCUUUCAGUGAUUUUUGGCGGGGGAAGAGUACUGGGUGGAAACAACCCCAGGGCCUUUAUACUUCUUUUUAAUUUGCAUAAAAGUUGUCACUGAGCCACUAAUUUGCCCCAGCUGAGCUCCAACUUUGUUUCCCCUGCCUCAGCCUUCCAGAGCCUUGGAUUACAGAUGUAUGCUGGAUUCAGAGGUUUUUAAGGCCUGAACAAUUAUGGAAGAAGCCUAUGUCUUUGUCUGUAUAAUGUUGCUAUCAACAUACUACCAUACACUGGUAAAUUUGUCAAAGAAAAGUUUAUUUUGGCUCAUUUGGCUCAUUUGGCUUAUUUGAAAGUGCAAAGUACAGGGGCCAUGUAUGUUGCCAAGAGUACAAAGUGAUGCAGGUUAUCCUAUGGUGACAGAUAAAGAGUUUAUGUGUAUCUGCCUGGCAUCCUGUUUAAAUGUCACUUAUAGUUAAUGGGCUGAAGAAGGUAGCUCAAUGAAGAGCACUUGCUUAGCAUGCACAAGGCCCUAGGUUCAAUCCCAGUACCUCAGAACAAAGGAAAAAAGAAAACAAAACAUACAACAAAAAGAAAAAAAAUAAUGUCCCCAGUACACAUUCAUGAGGCUUCAACCUGAUAUAGUAUCUUUAUAUUAAUCAUUUCUUAAAGAAAAAUGUCUAAUAGAGGAAUGGCUGGGUAAUUUAUGGCCUACCUAUACUAUGAAAUAGUAUUUAGUGUAUUGGCAGAUUUAUCUAUUGCACUUGGUUAGCGUUGUUAUGUAUUCUAUAAAGUUAAGUUUACUCAACAAUAAAUCUGCAGAAGUUUGGAAAAAGAUUAUUUUGGUAGCAUAAAAAUGCCAAUGAAUUUUUAUGUAAACAAAAGCAAUCUGCAAAGUAAUAUGUCUGUGCUAGUCUCUUUUUUUGUCUAAGAAAGAAAGGAAGGGACAGUAAGGUUAAUAAGAAUUUUUAGUGGUAAUACAUAUAGGAAUUUGAUAUAUCAAGGGAAUGGAAUUGGAAGGUGUUCUGGCUUAUAUCUAGAUGUCCCCUAAAGCUUUAUAUGCUUAUAGGUGAGGCUUUUGGAAGUGCCUGGAUUGUAGGUGCAUGAUACUGUAUUAGCCCACUGGUACUGCAUAAACCCAAUUGGUUUAGCAUGGUUCUGUAUGUGGAUAAUGAAUGUAGUGAAGAGGGAAGAUACAUUCUGGAUGUGGGUGGCACACCCACUGCAGCUUGAGUGGAAUAAAAAGAGAACAGGAAGGCUCACUGCUUCCUGUCUAUGCCAUGACCUGUUUCUUCUCUGACAUGCCACCUGCCUUGAAGCCAGCCUCACUGUGGACUAAAACCUCUACAAAUUGUGAGCUGAAAUAAAACUUUCCACCUCUAA